UACGUAGGGUGCGAGCGUUAAUCGGAAUUACUGGGCGUAAAGCGUGCGCAGGCGGUUGUGCAAGACAGAUGUGAAAUCCCCGGGCUUAACCUGGGAAUUGCAUUUGUGACUGCACGGCUAGAGUGUGUCAGAGGGGGUGGAAUUCCACGUGUAGCAGUGAAAUGCGUAGAUAUGUGGAGGAAUACCGAUGGCGAAGGCAGCCCCCUGGGAUAACACUGACGCUCAUGCACGAAAGCGUGGGGAGCAAACAGG
rnacentral:rRNA from 1 species